rnacentral:tRNA from 1 species
UCUAAUAUGGCAGAUAAGUGCAAUGGACUUAAGCCCCAUAUAUAAAGGACAUUCCUUUUAUUAGAA